rnacentral:rRNA from 1 species
UCUGGUUGAUCCUGCCUGAACUGAUGUGUUCAUUUCAAAGAUUAAGCCAUGCAUGUAUAAGUAUAAUCUGCCAGUCAGAGAAACUGCGUACGGCUCAUUACACCAGCCUUAAUUUACUUGACCUUGACACCCUACUUGGAUAACUGUGGUAAUUCUAGAGCUAAUACAUGCACCAAAGCUCCAAUCUCCCCAGAGCGGAGCGCAUUUGUUCGCCACAAAACCAAGCGCCUCAGGGCGUUCAGUGUUGACUCAGAACAACUAAGCUGAUCGCACGGUCUUGCACCGGCGACGUGUCUUUCAAGUGUCUGCCUUAUCAACUUUCGAUGGUAGUGUAUCUGACUACCAUGGUGAUGACGGGUAACGGAGGAUAAGGGUUCGACUCCGGAGAAGGGGCCUGAGAAAUGGCCACUACGUCUAAGGAUGGCAGCAGGCGCGCAAAUUACCCACUCUCGACGCGAGGAGGUAGUGACGAGAAAUAACGAGACCGUUCUCAUCUGAGGCCGGUCAUCGGAAUGGGUACAAUUUAAACCCUUUAACGAGUAUCUAUGAGAGGGCAAGUCUGGUGCCAGCAGCCGCGGUAAUUCCAGCUCUCAAAAUGCAUAGAAUUAUUGCUGCGGUUAAAAAGCUCGUAGUUGGAUCUGUGCUGAGCGACCGGUCUGCCCACUGGGCACGCACUGGCUCGCCCGGCUUUCCCUGCCGGUCUCUCUCUGACGUUGGUUUUAACCGGCUGGCGUCAGUGGGCUGGCGAGUUUACUUUGAACAAAUCAGAGUGCUUCAAACAGGCGUCUCGCCUGAAUGUUCGUGCAUGGAAUAAUAGAAGAGGAUCACGGUCCGAUUUUAUUGGUUUUGCUGACCGAGAUAAUGGUUAACAGAGACAAACGGGGCCAUUCGUAUUGCUACGUGAGAGGUGAAAUUCUUGGACCGUAGCAAGACGGACUACAGCGAAAGCAUUUGGCAAGAAUGUCUUCAUUAAUCAAGAACGAAAGUCAGAGGUUCGAAGGCGAUCAGAUACCGCCCUAGUUCUGACCGUAAACGAUGCCAACUAGCGAUCCGCCGGCGGAUUCAUUCGCCCUGGUGGGGAGCUUCCCGGAAACGAAAGUCUUCCGGUUCCGGGGGAAGUAUGGUUGCAAAGCUGAAACUUAAAGNAGUUCCGCUAGUGCCAGUGGGGGGAUCAAAGUCAAAUCGUCUUAGGUUACGAAUUGGCUCCCGACCCAUAAGUGCUAAGGCCUUCGGGCUCAUAGUAAGCGCCGGGCGGGUAAGGCGACUUAAAAAGUUCCGCCAAAAAUAGCCGGAGAGGAAGUGGAUAGCAUCUUUCUUAUAGUGCGGUCCUACCCUUCCCGUUGGGGAACUCCGGUAAAGCAAACCCGUUGGCAUGUUGGGAUGCAGUCCGCUGUAAGUUCUAAGUUUUUGCUUGAAUACCCACGUGUCAGUCCUAGAGCGAAUGAGGGCAUCUUGC